CAGUAGCCGCGGUAAUACGAAGGGUGCAAGCGUUAAUCGGAAUUACUGGGCGUAAAGCGUGCGUAGGCGGUGAGUUAAGUCUGCUGUGAAAUCCCCGGGCUCAACCUGGGAAUGGCAGUGGAUACUGGCUCGCUAGAGUGUGUCAGAGGAUGGUGGAAUUCCCAGUGUAGAGGUGAAAUUCGUAGAUAUUGGGAAGAACACCGGUGGCGAAGGCGGCAACCUGGCUCAUUACUGACGCUGAGGCGCGAAAGCGUGGGGAGCAAACAGGAUUAGAUACCCCUGUAGUCCCUGUCUCUUAUAA
rnacentral:rRNA from 1 species